GCGCCCUUAGCUCAGUUGGAUAGAGCAACGGCUUUCUAAACCGUGGGUCGCAGGUUCGAAUCCUGCAGGGCGCGCCA
rnacentral:tRNA from 1 species